GUGCAAUUGCACCGUCUGAAGAUGAGCCUGCGGUCCAUUAGUUAGUUGGUGGGGUAAUGGCCUACCAAGACCGCGAUGGAUAGCCGGCCUGAGAGGGUGAACGGCCACAUUGGGACUGAGACACGGCCCAGACUCCUUCGGGAGGCAGCAGCUAAGAAUCUUCCGCAAUGGGCGAAAGCCUGACGGAGCGACGCCGCGUGGAUGACGAAGGCCGAAAGGUUGUAAAAUCCUUUUUUUGGUGAAGAAUAAUGUGAGGAGUGGAAAGCCUUGCAGAUGACAUUAGCCAUAGAAUAAGCCCCGGCCAAUUACGUGCCAGCAGCCGCGGUAAUACGUAAGGGGCAAGCGUUGUUCGGAAUCAUUGGGCGUAAAGGGCGUGUAGGCGGUUUGAUAAGCUAUAUGUGAAAUACCACAGCUUAACUGUGGGAACGCAUCUGGAACUGUCAGACUAGAGUUCAGGAAGGGAAGCCGGAAUUCCUGGUGUAGGGGUGAAAUCUGUAGAUAUCAGGAAGAACACCGAUGGCGAAGGCAGGCUUCUAGACAUGAACUGACGCUGAGGCGCGAAAGCGUGGGGAGCGAACAGGAUUAGAUACCCUGGUAGUCCACGCUGUAAACGAUGUGCACUUGGUGUGGGGGUCUUAAGGCUUCCGUGCCGAAGUUAACGCGAUAAGUGCACCGCCUGGGGAGUAUGCUCGCAAGGGUGAAACUCAAAGGAAUUGACGGGGGCCCGCACAAGCGGUGGAGCAUGUGGUUUAAUUCGAUGAUACGCGAGAAACCUUACCAGGGCUUGACAUCUACUUGAAUGUGCAGGAGACUGUACAGUCCCUUCGGGGACAGGUAGACAGGUGCUGCAUGGCUGUCGUCAGCUCGUGUCGUGAGAUGUUGGGUUAAUCCCGCAACGAGCGCAACCCCUACUGUCUGUUACCAGCAUUUUGGAUGGGGACUCAGGCAGAACUGCCGGUGACAAACCGGAGGAAGGUGGGGACGACGUCAAGUCAUCAUGGCCCUUAUGUCCUGGGCUACACACGUGCUACAAUGGUAGGUACAAAGCGAAGCGAAACGGUGACGUCAAGCAAAUCGCAAAAAGCCUGCCUCAGUUCGGAUUGGAGUCUGAAACUCGACUCCAUGAAGUUGGAAUCGCUAGUAAUCGCGCAUCAGCGCGCGGUGAAUAAGUUCCCGGGCCUUGUACACACCGCCCGUCACACCACCCGAGUUGGGGGUACCCC
rnacentral:rRNA from 1 species